GGUAUUAUGGGUCAGAACCACCAUGGAAGCAGAGAAAGACACAUGACCCUAAAAUAACCUCAUUCUGCACGUGGUCCCAGAGUUUUCACAGUGUCUACUGAAGAGAAAGAGCGAGAGAGAGAGAGAAAUAAAAAUAAAUUUUCAAGGACAUCUCUAUGUUGCGUGAACAUUUCAUUGGGACCGGUGCAGUUACAUCAGCAAAUUCCCAGAACGUAAAGUUGAUCCUUGAUCCCAGAUGAAUAUUUAACUACAAACAACAGGAAUUCUGCAGAUGCUGGGAAUUCAAGCAACAUACAUCAAAGUUGCUGGUGAACGCAGCAGGCCAAGCAGCAUCUAUAGGAAGAGGUGCAGUCGACGUUUCAGGCCGAGACCCUUCGUCAGGACUAACUGAAGGAAGAGGUAUACUCAUCUCUGCACUGAACUGUGGCUGUGGUCUGCAACUAUCACGGUGUGAUCUCACUUUCCUAAAACUUCAGUUCUGAAUGCAACUGCUUACUUUUAUUGUUUGCACUUUUUUCCUCCACACAUUGGGUGUUUGACGGUCUUCUUUUGUUUUAAUGGGUUCUGUUGGGUUUCUUUG